CCUUCUCAUAUUUGAGGUCUACAUUUCCAAACUAACAGUAAAGUUACUCCUGAAAAAUUCACCAAUCUUUCUCCUAUUGAACAGGAAGCUCAACAGUCCUUCACAUAUAGAAGGAGCAAAGUGAGUUCUUUUGACAGUGAUGCAUUUGUGGCAUUCUUUGAAGGAAGUCAUGUUGAAACCAUACCUGC
rnacentral:lncRNA from 1 species